AGGCAUAUAGCUCAGCUGGUUAGAGCAUCACCUUGACAUGGUGGGGGUCGUUGGUUCGAGUCCAAUUAUGCCUACCA
rnacentral:tRNA from 4 species